UUGGUGACGGUUUAUUUCUGACUGUGAAGUCCUAAACUAAAACUACUGCGGCUGACCGGUGAGACACUCUUUCUCGCGAUGUCCAGCAGAGCUACGACACUCGCGGAGUGGGAUUCUGCAAAUCAGAACGGGAGAUCACAACUGAUCUCUGAUGCGAGAAGGUACAGCUAGGGCAAGGGGAAUAAGGGUUAAAAGGGUAUACAAAUUUAUCUCCUAACUCGCUUCAACAUAACCGGCCGCCUUGAAAGCUCCCAGGUUUCAAAACAUCUACUCUCUCUCUUCCUCCUACAGCUAUCCUGGGAGAUCUCUUCGAUAGCUUAUCACUAAUUUUGUUUUGAUUCCUACUUUCUACUAUAACACGAUCGGCUUAUAUACUAACACAAAAGAAUCAGGGUCAAGAUUGGGACGAGUACAUAGAUUGUUCUUCUUGUGUGGACGAUACGGGUUCUUUUGUUCUCCGGACUGUAGCUUGGCUCAGUCUUCUUCUGCUCUCGAACUGCUGCAAAUCGCACGUACGGACACCUCAUCGCUUGGACUGGACUGCUGCACCGACCGCCUACUUCGACCUGGAUUAUGCUGCUGCUCGCUGUAUGCUGCUUGUGCUCGUACAUGCUUCGACACCGACUGUUGACCGCAAUGCUUGGACUGCUGAUCAUGCUGCUGGAUCUUGACGAUCGUAACCUGGAUUUCAUCAUCUUCACCUUCUCUCAGCAGCUCUUCGAUGGCGUAGCGGUUGUCGAAGAACUUGUUCUCUGUACUCCUUCAGGAAGUCAUCCGUAACAGCCAAGUUGUUCAGCCACCUGCGCUCACGCUUCGUCAAUGAACGCAGAUCUUCAUCCAUCUUGCACACGAAUCACGAUUGACAGCCCUGCAAAUUGACUUGACUGCGCACGAUCUACUCGACGUUCCACCGCGAUUUCCCGAAAUUGACAGCGAACUUUCAACCCAAAUUAUUGACUGCAGCGAUGGGAGCUAACCAGAACUUCAGACCAAGAACCAAAUUUGCCAGAUUUGAGAACCAGACCAGACCAGACCAAGGGACACGCAGUUUUUGAGAAAAUAGACACAAAUGCAAUCAAAUUCGUUUUUAUUGCCAUCAGCUUAAGCCAAAUCACGCCUCAUGCCACCCAAUCAUGCAAUACUUCCUGCCAAACCCUUUCCUUGACCAAUCCUUGUCCUGUUUCCGCUUCUGGUCCCGAAUCUCCUUCCAGCAACAGCAAUGGCAGCGCCCAGGUGCCGCGAGAAAUGCGCGCGCGUUGCGCAACUGCAAUGGCGCAGAUGGUGCAGUAGUAGACCGCGCAAUUCCCGGGACAAUAGCACCUGCUUUGUCUGGACUCCCCUUUCUUCCUUCGCACAAAGGCAGCACUUUUGUUUCGCGGAUUUUCCAAUUUUCCACCGUUUUCCGCGUUCCGUGGAGUCGCGAGACACUUUUUAUUGCGAAUAAACGCCACUGUUUGAGCCGCAGCCCAGAAGUUCUUCACAUGCACUUUUGCACUUAAACGUUCGUGCACACAAACUGUCCGAUCACUUUUGUCGCAGUGGACAGGUCCGUUUGUCCGAAAACCGCCCGGUAAUCCGGUGCCCGAAGGACCAAUGUUCGCGCGUCAGUUUAUCAGGUUUUCGGACACUACACAUAAACUCGCACUUUACAAAAUUAAAACACGGUUUAUUCACGCGAACUAAAACACGACGUUUAUUAAAACGCGAGGGUCACUUGGUGACGGUUUAUUUCUGACUGUGAAGUCCUAAACUAAAACUACU